rnacentral:rRNA from 1 species
CCUACGGGUGGCAGCAGUGAGGAAUAUUGGUCAAUGGGCGGAAGCCUGAACCAGCCAAGUAGCGUGCAGGAUGACGGCCCUACGGGUUGUAAACUGCUUUUAUACGGGAAUAACGCGCCUUACGUGUAGGGCUUUGCACGUACCGUAUGAAUAAGGACCGGCUAAUUCCGUGCCAGCAGCCGCGGUAAUACGGAAGGUCCGGGCGUUAUCCGGAUUUAUUGGGUUUAAAGGGAGCGUAGGCCGCAUGUCAAGCGUGCUGUGAAAUGUCCGGGCUCAACUCGGGCCUUGCAGCGCGUACUGGCGUGCUAGAGUCCGCGGAAGGCAGGCGGAAUUCGUGGUGUAGCGGUGAAAUGCUUAGAUAUGACGAAGAACACCGAGUGCGAAGGCAGCUUGCUGCAGCGGAACUGACGCUGAUGCUCGAAAGCGCGGGGAUCGAACAGGAUUAGAUACCCGAGUAGUC